rnacentral:rRNA from 1 species
CCUACGGGGGGCAGCAGUGGGGAAUAUUGGACAAUGGGGGGAACCCUGAUCCAGCCAUGCCGCGUGUGUGAAGAAGGCCCUCGGGUUGUAAAGCACUUUCAGUGAGGAAGAACGCCUGGUGGUUAAUACCCAUCAGGAAAGACAUCACUCACAGAAGAAGCACCGGCUAACUCCGUGCCAGCAGCCGCGGUAAUACGGAGGGUGCGAGCGUUAAUCGGAAUUACUGGGCGUAAAGCGCGCGUAGGUGGCUUGAUAAGCCGGUUGUGAAAGCCCCGGGCUCAACCUGGGAACGGCAUCCGGAACUGUCAAGCUAGAGUGCAGGAGAGGAAGGUGGAAUUCCCGGUGUAGCGGUGAAAUGCGUAGAGAUCGGGAGGAAUACCAGUGGCGAAGGCGGCCUUCUGGACUGACACUGACGCUGAGGUGCGAAAGCGUGGGUAGCAAACAGGAUUAGAUACCCUAGUAGUC